rnacentral:lncRNA from 1 species
GCAUUGUGGAUGUCACAACUGGCUUCUCUGUAGAAAACAAGCUGUCCCCGACCCCCGAAAACCACACAGCACCACAGAUACAUUCUGCCUGUUUGUUUCUUGGCCAGCACAGAACAGCUCUCCACGGCCUCCGAAGGCCUGAAGUGUUUGGUAACUGUACUAUAUUCUUACCUCCCAAAGCCACUGACAGGGACAACGCAUGUACUCGAGCUUGCUUUCCAAGCGGCCACCUGCCCCUCACUGCAAUGCUGAGGAGUUUCUUCUGGUCUACCGGGAGUCCUGAACCUACAAGAUGCAGGAGGGGUUCCUCCCUCGUCUCAAGCUUCUGCUCGCUCUCUUAUUGCACAACAGGCGACCCUUAAAAGCCUGAAGAAUCCUCCGCCAUGCACUUGGCCAUCCUGGGUGAGAGCUGUCCAUGUGGAAGCCUGAGGGAGCAGGAUUCUCAGUUCAGUCAGGUUAGUCGCCAGCCGCUGCCUCUCGGCACAGCUCAGGAGACGGGACCGAGGAAGACGGAAGCUAGGCAAGGAACCUCAAUGAGAACUUACAUUUGACAGCUAUUCCAGAUGCUUUUGUUAGCUAAGAUUCUUAAACCCUCCAGGAUUUAAUGUUUAGAAUAACUCAUCCAAAAUACUGUAAUUACGCUAAUUAAAGUAAUCAAUAAAGGAAAGAAAACCAACUC